rnacentral:misc_RNA from 1 species
AAAAAUGGCAGCUCAAGGAACUUGCCUUAAUCACGUCUCCAGAGAAUCCUCUGAUAUCAAACGCCUAGCCCAAUUUUACAUUGAGAUAUUUGGGUUUCAGAAAGUUGAAGCUCCAAGAUUUGAAUUUGAUGUGAUAUGGUUGAAGCUGGCACCGUCCUUUUAUCUUCACCUUAUCGAGAGAGACCCGACUACGAAGCUUCCAGAAGGUCCAUGGAGUGCCACGUCAGCCAUCGCUGACCCGAAGAAUCUGCCCAGAGGUCACCAUGUCUGCUUCACCAUCUCCAAUUUCGAUUCCUUUGUUCAGAAGCUCAAGGAUAAAGGAAUUGAAGUUCAUGAGAGGACUCAACCAGAUGGCAAGACCAAACAAGCCUUUUUCUUUGAUCCAGAUGGAAAUGGUUUGGAGGUAAGCAGUGGGGCUCCUGCCUCCUAGACAGUGACCAAACUCUUGGUGUUCCGUUUAAGUUUUAGAGUAUAAUAAACCCACAGGACUCGAAAAACAUUAGCUCAGAUGAUGAUGACCUUGUGUAAAUUUUCGUAUUGGUAUGAAAAUAUUGUGUCGUUUAGUUAUGCUUUUUCCUUGCAAUUGCCUCCGAGAAACUUGUACCCUGAUUGUUAUCGAUACUCCCUCCGUCCGGUACUGUUUGUCAUGGUUUAUAUUUUUUGAGUCAAACUAUAAAAACUUU